rnacentral:rRNA from 1 species
GAUGAACGCUGGCGGCGUGCCUAAUACAUGCAAGUCGAGCGAACGGACGAGAAGCUUGCUUCUCUGAUGUUAGCGGCGGACGGGUGAGUAACACGUGGAUAACCUACCUAUAAGACUGGGAUAACUUCGGGAAACCGGAGCUAAUACCGGAUAAUAUUUUGAACCGCAUGGUUCAAAAGUGAAAGACGGUCUUGCUGUCACUUAUAGAUGGAUCCGCGCUGCAUUAGCUAGUUGGUAAGGUAACGGCUUACCAAGGCAACGAUGCAUAGCCGACCUGAGAGGGUGAUCGGCCACACUGGAACUGAGACACGGUCCAGACUCCUACGGGAGGCAGCAGUAGGGAAUCUUCCGCAAUGGGCGAAAGCCUGACGGAGCAACGCCGCGUGAGUGAUGAAGGUCUUCGGAUCGUAAAACUCUGUUAUUAGGGAAGAACAUAUGUGUAAGUAACUGUGCACAUCUUGACGGUACCUAAUCAGAAAGCCACGGCUAACUACGUGCCAGCAGCCGCGGUAAUACGUAGGUGGCAAGCGUUAUCCGGAAUUAUUGGGCGUAAAGCGCGCGUAGGCGGUUUUUUAAGUCUGAUGUGAAAGCCCACGGCUCAACCGUGGAGGGUCAUUGGAAACUGGAAAACUUGAGUGCAGAAGAGGAAAGUGGAAUUCCAUGUGUAGCGGUGAAAUGCGCAGAGAUAUGGAGGAACACCAGUGGCGAAGGCGACUUUCUGGUCUGUAACUGAUGCUGAUGUGCGAAAGCGUGGGGAUCAAACAGGAUUAGAUACCCUGGUAGUCCACGCCGUAAACGAUGAGUGCUAAGUGUUAGGGGGUUUCCGCCCCUUAGUGCUGCAGCUAACGCAUUAAGCACUCCGCCUGGGGAGUACGACCGCAAGGUUGAAACUCAAAGGAAUUGACGGGGACCCGCACAAGCGGUGGAGCAUGUGGUUUAAUUCGAAGCAACGCGAAGAACCUUACCAAAUCUUGACAUCCUUUGACAACUCUAGAGAUAGAGCCUUCCCCUUCGGGGGACAAAGUGACAGGUGGUGCAUGGUUGUCGUCAGCUCGUGUCGUGAGAUGUUGGGUUAAGUCCCGCAACGAGCGCAACCCUUAAGCUUAGUUGCCAUCAUUAAGUUGGGCACUCUAAGUUGACUGCCGGUGACAAACCGGAGGAAGGUGGGGAUGACGUCAAAUCAUCAUGCCCCUUAUGAUUUGGGCUACACACGUGCUACAAUGGACAAUACAAAGGGCAGCGAAACCGCGAGGUCAAGCAAAUCCCAUAAAGUUGUUCUCAGUUCGGAUUGUAGUCUGCAACUCGACUACAUGAAGCUGGAAUCGCUAGUAAUCGUAGAUCAGCAUGCUACGGUGAAUACGUUCCCGGGUCU